UACGUAGGGGGCAAGCGUUGUCCGGAUUUAUUGGGCGUAAAGAGCGUGUAGGCGGCUUUACAGGUCCGUUGUGAAAACUCGAGGCUCAACCUCGAGACGCCGGUGGAAACCGUAAAGCUAGAGUCCGGAAGAGGAGAGUGGAAUUCCUGGUGUAGCGGUGAAAUGCGCAGAUAUCAGGAGGAACACCCGUGGCGAAAGCGGCUCUCUGGGACGGUACUGACACUGAGGGACGAAAGCUAGGGGAGCGAAUGGG
rnacentral:rRNA from 1 species